CAAACACCGCUGCCUGUUUUCAUGCGAACAAGAUGGACGUCCAUAGGAAUUGCGGCCACCCAGACGAACACUUUCGGUGGAAAUUGCUACAACGUAGCAACUAGACUUAAGCUCCAGGGUGAUCUCUGGUUCGUGCAACAGUUUGAUUCCCAAACCAAAUAUAAAAUCCCACGAACCAAGUCUGUUCAUAUAGUUUUUUGGUAAGAGGCUGGCCAGCAGACCCCUCCAAGAACACGUGACGAGGCUCAGUUCGUCACAAC